UGCUUAUGUCAAAGGCCCCAAAUGGAGCUGUUCAACAGCAAAGUUAAGAUGGGAAUCAGCCCUCUGGACUCUUAAGCAAGGGCCCUAAUGGAAACCAAAGCCUACUGUACCUUUGGUUUGUGUAUAAGACAUAGCCAUUCUCAGGCUUCUACAAGGCACAGCUAAGCCAUUAUGGCUAAAUAAGACUCUCAAGACAAGACCAGAAAUGGAUUAGUCUCUAUCAUCAAAAUAUAUGGCCUAGACUCAAUGAAUCUGAAGUGACAGAGACUCCAGAAGCAAUUCUCCACAUUCUGGAAUCCCCCUACGCCCUCUGACAGAUAUAUUUCUUUUCUGCAGUUCUCAGAGUUAACAUUUCCAGGUAAAAGCGUAACCUGGUAACUGGGACACAAGCUGAGGUUUGAUGUGUGCCUGUGCACUGGCCUUGCCUUUUGGAAACCUGGGACCAUAAUACCGCGAAGAAGCUCACAGUAAGAAAGCAGAUGGAAAAAGAGAUCCUAUCCAGAGCUGUUCCAAGUGCUGAAUACUAUCACGUAAAUGAAUCCAGAGAUACAGAAGCAGAAGAAGCACCCAGCCAACUCUCAGAAUCACGGGAAAUAUUGUUGAUAUAUACCAGUGAGUUUUGGGGCUAUUUGUCAUGCAGCAUUAGACAAGUGACACAAGCAUAAAUAUGCAGAUACACUAUUAACAUCC